rnacentral:rRNA from 1 species
AUUGAACGCUGGCGGCAUGCCUUACACAUGCAAGUCGAACGGUAACGCGGGGCAACCUGGCGACGAGUGGCGAACGGGUGAGUAAUGUAUCGGAACGUGCCCAGUUGUGGGGGAUAACCGCUCGAAAGAGCAGCUAAUACCGCAUACGACCUGAGGGUGAAAGCGGGGGAUCGCAAGACCUCGCGCAAUUGGAGCGGCCGAUAUCAGAUUAGGUAGUUGGUGAGGUAAAGGCUCACCAAGCCGACGAUCUGUAGCUGGUCUGAGAGGACGACCAGCCACACUGGGACUGAGACACGGCCCAGACUCCUACGGGAGGCAGCAGUGGGGAAUUUUGGACAAUGGACGCAAGUCUGAUCCAGCCAUGCCGCGUGCGGGAAGAAGGCCUUCGGGUUGUAAACCGCUUUUGUCAGGGAAGAAACGCUCUGGGUUAAUACCCCGGGGUAAUGACGGUACCUGAAGAAUAAGCACCGGCUAACUACGUGCCAGCCGCCGCCGUAACAC